rnacentral:rRNA from 1 species
AGCUCCAAUAGCGUAUACUAAUGUUGUUGCAGUUAAAAAGCUCGUAGUCGGAUUUCAGUAUUAGGCUCGCCAAUCAUCUGAUUGAGUGUGUCUUUACUUCUUUAACAGAAUCUUUCAUCGCAUUAAUUUGUGGUGUUUGGGGCCUGUUUCUUUUACUUUGAGAAAAUUAGAGUGUUCAAAGCGGGUUUUCGCCUGAAUAUUACUCUUGGAAUAAUAAUAUAGGACUUUGGUUCUUUUUUGUUGGUGACUUAGAACCGAAGUAAUGAUUGAUAGGGACAGUUGGGGUCAUUCGUACUGCAAAGCGAGAGGUGAAAUUCAUGGACCUUUGUAUGACGAACUACUGCGAAAGCAUUUGACUAGGAUGUUCCCG